AGAUUAACUAGACACUUGGCCAGUGUCAGGCUCCAGGCUGAAGGUUGGAGAGAGGCUAGUCCCCAGACAAAUGAUGCAUGGAAUUUGUAUCUGUGUGUUGCCAUGCCGACGCUGAGCACAGAUUGCUCAAGAUUCAGCAGGACUUGGCAGGGACCUUUAUGCUUCCCAGAGACCCACUGACAGCUUCAUCUAACUGAAGGCUGCCAUGGAAAGAAGCAACCUAGCCUGUUUGUCUCCAUCUGCCACCAGGAUUCUGCCCUGUUUGCAUUGGACCUCUGCAAUUUCAAGACCCAUCACCAGCCAUGCUCAGUGUGAUACAAGGUGGGUCACAACCAGGCCCUUCUCAGUGGAUAGUAUUGGAUCUGUGUUGCUUUGUGAAGACCAGCCCUAUUCCUGGGCAUUCAGGACCACUGAAGUUUGUGGUGAAAGGAUAAGCACAUCUAUUCAGAGCUGAGAUCCACAACCUGAUCGUACGGCUGUAAGAGUCAGCAGCAAAGCUACACCAUCUUCACUCUUGCAGUCAUGAAUAUAAAUUAAGGAGAUGACAAGAGGGGGAAAAGAGUGAUUCGUCUGGGCCCAUGCACACCAUCAGCUGUUGCAGGGAAAAGAGACCAAUACCUGAGUUUCAUUCUCAGGUCACACUGGUUUCCCUACCAAGUCCCAUUGUUUGCUGUAGCAUUCAUACUGAUAUCAGAGUCUUUUCCUAUGUGUGUAUCCAGAUUAUCUAGAGUUCUGUGCCAGGGGUUGAUGAAUGUUCAGCAUAACUUGCAGUAAAUGCCGUCAUUGCGUAAAGCUUCUAAAACUUUGAAAAAUAGCAUGCUGCACUUUUUCCCCUUUUGACAAAGAAGCCUGAGAUAUAAUAGCUGUGGAAUAUCAGAUGCAGAUUUAUUUUUGUCUCUUCAACUGGCCGUGGGUUGUUUGCAUGCAUAUAUAUUUGUAUUUGUGUGGGUCUGGGUGUGUGUUUGUGUGCAUAUGCCCAUAUGCUGUUAGUUUUCUAUUUCUUAUCUUUGAAGAAAAUGACCAUGAAAACUCGUUAAGUUGGUCUAUGCAAGCUGAAUAGCUAACAGGGAGGAAUAAUUUUGUAUCUAACAGAACCCCUCACACUUUAUUAACACUGAAAGGAAAGUGAGAGACCCUUACAUCACCUUGCUAGUUAAUAGCCAGCAAUGUUUGCAUUACUCAGUAUUAAAGGGAUAUUAGACUUCUCUAAUGUUUAAUUUUUGCUUUGUAUUAAAAUAAGCAUCUAUUUGAGUUGAGCAUUGCAAUAGGGAAACAAGGGGAGGAGGGGCUAUUCCUGCAGAUGGCAAUUAGUUUUCUCUUCAGAUUUUGUGGCUGUGAUGAGACCAUGAUCCUGCAGUUCAGCCCUUAAGUGCAGAAGCCUACGGACAUCCACACCAGUACAACAUCUGCCAUACUGACAGAGGCUGCAUGAGCCAGCUCAGAUCUGA